rfam:Streptomyces viridochromogenes DSM 40736 genomic scaffold supercont1.1, whole genome shotgun sequence.
CCAAGUCCCGUCGCACUCCCCCCGGCGCCGGGACUCUCCCAAGGCCGGGCUUCGGCGCCCCUCCCCCCGGGCGCCGGGGCCCGGCUCUUUU